rnacentral:rRNA from 1 species
CCUACGGGCGGCUGCAGUGGGGAAUAUUGGACAAUGGGGGCAACCCUGAUCCAGCCAUGCCGCGUGUGUGAAGAAGGCCCUCGGGUUGUAAAGCACUUUCAGUGAGGAAGAACGCCUGGUGGUUAAUACCCAUCAGGAAAGACAUCACUCACAGAAGAAGCACCGGCUAACUCCGUGCCAGCAGCCGCGGUAAUACGGAGGGUGCGAGCGUUAAUCGGAAUUACUGGGCGUAAAGCGCGCGUAGGUGGCUUGAUAAGCCGGUUGUGAAAGCCCCGGGCUCAACCUGGGAACGGCAUCCGGAACUGUCAAGCUAGAGUGCAGGAGAGGAAGGUAGAAUUCCCGGUGUAGCGGUGAAAUGCGUAGAGAUCGGGAGGAAUACCAGUGGCGAAGGCGGCCUUCUGGACUGACACUGACACUGAGGUGCGAAAGCGUGGGUAGCAAACAGGAUUAGAUACCCGAGUAGUA